AUUGAACGCUGGCGGCAGGCUUAACACAUGCAAGUCGAACGAGUGGGGGACGGGUUAGUAAGGCUUGGGCAUCGAGCUUAUGGAGGGGGAUAACUACGGGGAACUGAAACUAAUAACGCGUACAAUAGGAUGAGCCCAAGUGGGAUUGGGUAGUUGGUGAGGUAAAGGCUCACCAAGCCGACGAUCUGUAGCUGGUCUGAGAGGAUGACCAGCCACACUGGGACUGAGACACGGCCCAGACUCCUACGGGAGGCAGCAGUGGGGAAUAUUGCGCAAUGGGGGCAACCUGACGCAGCCAUGCCGCGUGAAUGAAGAAGGCCUUCGGGUUGUAAAGUUCUUUCGGUAGGGAGGCGUUAACUACAGAAGAAGCACCGGCUAACUCCGUGCCAGCAGCCGCGGUAAUUC
rnacentral:rRNA from 1 species